GCAGCAUCAGCGAGCUCUGUGAUUGGUGGAGAGACGAGGAUCAUGUGUUGUUGUUGCUCGCUGACAGAAGUGCUGAGUUGACUCUCAUGUUAAAGCGCUCGCUGGAGUUGAUGCACUUUCUAUUGUCCCACACAGUUGUUUUUUUUCCAUCCUGGUUGAACUUUCUAGCGGGACACUUGGUCCGUUAGCAUCAUAUAUGCGACUCAGGAGGGCGCAGGGGGCAAAGCCUAACAAAUGUGUGGAGUCAACUGGUUUCCCAAGGGGACGUUACUGAGAAGCUGGCUCACAAAGUCCCGACCGAGACUACUGCUCCUCAUUGCUGGUCUGAAGAGACCUCAGGUCACCCUCAUGAGGAGAAAACGGAUGAAACGUACAAAAGUAGCCAAGGCCACGUAAGCGAAGCUGUCAUCACAUGCCACAUUUCAGCUGAAUCUCUGACGAACAGAGAAACCUCAUCUGUUACCUACAUGGACCCAGAAACAGAGGAACCACGUUAUCGAACUAAACUCCAAUGCAAACCCAGAACGGUUUCAGAAUUAGUUGUAAAAAUGAGAGAUUUUCCUAAAAGAUCCCGGGCUCCUGACUGACAUCUCUUCAUCUUUAAUGCAGUACAGUGUGUGUGGCUGUACAUUGGGUUGACAUUGUUUUCUUCUGUGUUAUCUGCUCAAGAUUUCAGCGAUUUUUAGUUUUGAUUCUAAAUGAGGUGUGAGUGAAUUAAACACUCGGAAAACGGCUGGGUUAUUUUUACCCAUGUUGUUGGGUAAAUAUUGGACUGAACGCAUGCUGGGUUAAAAAUGACUUAAUGUUGUAUGGGGCCAUUUUAACCCAGCAGUGUUUUCGGUCCAAUAUGGGUCAAAAAAUAACCUAGACGUUUAUAGAGUGAAUGAAAAGAAAAACAGAGAUCAUGUAUAGAUGUUAUGAGCUGGUAACUAUCACACACCAGUGGCUUUUUUAUCCUGCAAAGACAAAGAGAUUCAAACAAAACCUGUGAACCUCCUGAUUAGUAAAACAUUACCAUAAAGACCAAAAAUACCAAACACAAUAAGAAUCUUUAUCUAUACACAGUACUGUGCAAAUGUCUUUUUGUUUUAGAAGUUUUAAUGUCCAUCCAUAUUUAUUUUUCAAUCUAUUUUAUUAAGAUACAAACAGAAAAUACAGGAAAUAUGUACAAAAAAUAAAAAAAAUUAAUUUUCAGGCAUCGUCUGUGUUUAGUGUGACCUCUCUUGGUGUUUUUGAGCAGAAUGAAGUAAAAGACUAAUUUCUUUAAAAUUAGAAAUUAGGAUUUAAUUUUAUUCAGGUUUAAGAGAUCCUGCAGUUUCCUGCUAUUGCUCAAGUGGAAGGGGAGUUUACCCUAAAAACCUGCCACAUCAGUUUACAUUUUAUACAGUUUUUAAUACUACAUACACGUUUUCUGUAUUUUCUGGAUGUAUUUUAUUAAAGAGACUGAGAAACAAUUAUAUAUGAUCACUAUAACAUUGCAAAAACAACUAAUCUAAUUCUGGCAUGGUGGCCUAAAACUUUU